rnacentral:lncRNA from 1 species
UGUGAUUUGGGAUAAUUAUAAAAAUAGUUUCUUAGUGUAUUUUUGUUUUGGUCACUUAGAUUUAAUAUGGGUAAAAUUCGAUUUGACUCAAAAAAUCGAAAAAUAUUUUGAAUUAUGAGUUAAACGAAUCGAGUUAUUUUAGUCAACUCAAUUUUUUUUUUUUUAAAUUUCAAAUUUGAAUCAAGUUUAAUUUUUGAAUUGGAAAAACUCAAAUAACUUGAAUAACCUAAAUACCAAAUUAUAAUAUUUUACAUUUUUACCCCAAACCCCCAAAUCUUUUUACUUUCGCCCCAAUACUUUUACUCCAUCCCACUUUCCCUCCAAAACAUUUACUCCCCUCCCAUCCCACCCCUAUCUAUCCCAAACCCAUUUUUCCCCCAAUUAUUUUUUGAAUAUUUUCUCCCCAUUUACUCCCCCCCAAAUUUUACUCCCCUAACCCUCAAAACUUUUUAUAUCCCCCCUAAAUUUUUUACUUUUCACCCUUUACCCA